AGUAGCGCGGGCCUCGUGGAAUCCCGCGUGAAUCUGCCCAGACCGUUGGGUAAGCCUAAGUAUUCCUGUCUGACCGAUAGUGUACUAGUACCGUGAGGGAAAGGUGAAAAGCACCCCGGGAGGGGAGUGAAAUAGUUCCUGAAACCGUGCGCUUACAAUCCGUCGGAGCCUUUUUAUGGGGUGACGGCGUGCCUAUCGAAAAAUGAGUCUGCGAGUCAGUGGUAUGUGGCGAGGCUAACCCGGGUGGGGGAGCCGUAGCGAAAGCGAGUUUUAAAAGGCGUUUUAGUCGCAUGUCCUGGACCCGAAGCGGGAUGAUCUAGCCCUGAGCAGGUUGAAGCGCGGGUAAGACCGUGUGGAGGACCGAACCCACCUAGGUUGAAAACUGGGGGGAUGACUUGGGGUUAGGGGUGAAAGGCCAAUCAAAUUCCGUGAUAGCUGGUUCUCUCCGAAAUGCAUUUAGGUGCAGCGUCAUGUUAUUGCUUACAGGGGGUAGAGCUACUGGAUGCUUGCGGGCCCAUACCGGGUACUAAUAGCAGCCAAACUCCGAAUACCUGUUAGGUUUAUCAUGGCAGUGAGUCGGCGGGGGAUAAGCUCCGUCGUCAAAAGGGAAACAGCCCUGAUCGUCGUCUAAGGUCCCGAAGCGCGUGCUAAGUGGGAAAGGAUGUGGAGUCGCAUAGACAGCCAGGAGGUUGGCUCAGAAGCAGCCAUCCUUGAAAGAGUGCGUAACAGCUCACUGGUCUAGUGGUUCCGCGCCGACAAUGUAGCGGGACUUAAGCACGCCACCGAAGACGCGACUGUGUGAUU
rnacentral:rRNA from 1 species